ensembl:lncRNA
AUUCACCAUGUGAUCCACCGGCAAGGGAGAAUGCCAAUGGAAGGCGUCCGAUAAGAUAAGUCUUACAAAAUAUAUAGAUUUAUGAUAAUUAAGACUGAGCUAACAGAUGAGAACCCUAGUCACUGGCCAAGCAACAUUUGCACCUAAUGUAAGUCUCUGUGCAUUAAUUGGGGUCCUAACUCCUCGGACAGAACUCAGGCGGCUGGUGGAGACUGCUCAUGUGGUGAUAGGGUUUGGGUGGCUUUUGGCAGUAAGAUUUAUCGUAACAAUACCCAAGCAAAACAACAACAACCAAAGAGGAGGAAAAGAGCCCCAAGAGCAGGCAAAAGAGUCACAGACAUACCACACUUCCUUUUAGGAGUACCACAAAAACACCAAACUAACUGUCAAAACUUACACAAACCAGGACCUGGAGCUUGCAUCUUCAGAUUCUGUGAGUUCACAUGCACCUUAAUUAUUUGAUUCAGUGGGCCAUGUUCUUCUGGUCCCCUCCAUACCCUCUGAUUCCUACACCCCACCCUGACCCUCUCUGGAUUCCUUGAACUCAGAGGUAAAGAGACACUAUUGAGACCUCCAAUUUAGACUCUCACUCUGUCUAAAGUCUGGCUGUGGGUCUCUACUCUCUACUUCCAUCUACUGCCAGACAACUGGACAAGGCACCAAUCUCUCAAUAUAGCAGAAUAUCAUUAGGAAUCAUUUCAUUGAUAUAUAUAUAUAUUUUGGCCAGUCAUGAUUGGUUCCACCCUAGGUACCUGGGCUAUCUAGUCUUCAGUUCCUAGCCAUUCAGUCAGUGUUGGGCAUGGGUUCCCUUGAUCUCAAGUUAAAUCAGACAUUGGUUAACCAUACCCACAAGUAUUCUAUCAACAUGGCCCAAAUACAUCUUGGAGGUAGGAAAGAUUGUUGGUCAAAGGCUUUAUGGCUGGGUUGGUGUCCUGUUUUCUCUUUUGGUAGCAUGUGGAGUACCUUCCCACAUCACAAACUCUAGCAUGUAGAGGUCAUUAUAUGGAGGCACCAGCUCCACUGCUCCCUGUUCAAUGAGCUCUGAGGAGGUCAAUGGGUCACCACUGUCAUUUAUAGCUAGCAUCAGCCUUUGUGCUAGCAUCAGCCUUGACUGUUUGUGGACCUCCAUGUUACCCCCUUGGACCAAAACUCAACUAAAUGCAACCUCGUCCAAGCACAGGAAGCCUUAUCUGGCUAUGAAAGAUGGUAUUUGAGACUCAUCCCUGUAGCCAGCCCCUAAGUAGGUGUGGCCAUGCCUACUUAGGGGCUGGCUACAGGUAUGCCUGACCACAUCCCCAUUACUAUGAGUCCUUACUUCGAUUACCCUCGUAUAAUCCAGAAAUUUUCUAUUGUAAUAGCUAUCCGCAGUGCCCUGGCUCAAGUUCCAGUCAUCUCUCCCAAAACUCUCUGUGUCCAUUCUUACCUCAACAUAAACCCAGCCACACUGAACCUCUUAGAAGAGAAAGUGGGAGGUACCCUUGAACAAAUUGGUACAGGACGCCACUUCCUGAACGUAACACCAGUAGAACAGAUACUGAGAUCCACAAUUAAUAAAUGGAAACCAAGAAGCUCCUCUAAGGCAAGGACACAGUCAACAAGACAAAAUGGCAGCCUACAGAAUGGGAAAAGAUCUUCUCCAACCCCACAUCUGACAGAAGACUGAUUUCCAACAGAGAACUCAAGAAGCUAGUCACCAAAACACCAAACAAUUCAAUUAAAAAUUAAGAUCAGUGCCCAAUCCAAUCAUCAUCAGAGAGGCUUCCUCUGGCAGGAGAUGGGAGUGGAUGCAGAGAUAAAGAGCCAGACAGUCUGCAGAGAUAGAGUCUAAAUGGGAGGUCUCCAUCAAAUUCCUCCUCUCAGAGCUCAG